rnacentral:lncRNA from 1 species
CUUCCGGUAGCGCCGGCACGCGGCGUCAUCACACGCAGACGUGUGAUGGGGCUUUCGCAGAGGGACUGGCGGUUUUCGGACUCAGCCCAGGCGGCGGGUCUUAGUUCUGGAAACAGGAGUACUAAAUGUCUUGUGUUCACUAUUGGUACUGCGGGAGCAGGCGGCGCUGGGCGCGGUUAUGUGGAAGGCUGAGUGAUUGCCGCUACUCUAAUCCCACCGGCUUCCUUGGUUCCUCUGUGAGAGCAAAUAUCCCCUUUUGGAAAUUACUCGACCUCAUCUCUGCGACGAGGGAUCUACGGCCCCGACAGCUCCCCUAGUGGGAGCUGGAGUGUGCGUCCUGCAGGAGUUGGAGCUGGCCGGGCUUCGUAAACUCCUUCACUUUUCCUUGUCACCUCUUAGGGCCAUUUCUAGUUUUUCUGAGCUGGUCUGUUGGAAUCGCGGGGCCUUUCAGAGCUGGACGAUGCUUGAGGUCAUCCUCUUUUAAAAUAAAAAUUUAAGUUCCAGGCAAAAAGUGCCACUUAGGGGAGGAGGGUGGUUGGAGAAGUGCGGUCACUGUCCUGAGCACAUCGCUGGGACCAGAAGAUCGUUAGACAAAGACCAGGAAGACAGGAGAGGUCCCUGGUGUCCAUGGGAUCAGCCAACCUGAAUUCAGAAAUGGAAGUAUUGUGAAGAUGCCAGAGUUCCCCCCCUCCCAGCUCUGGAAAACUGAGCUCUGCAAAAUGAGAAAAAUAAAAACAUGUCUUGUUAAGG